AGGAAAGCCUGCUCACCUCUACAGGAACCAUGCACGACAAUUUUAUUUUAAAAGGUUCUUUUAAGAGUCGAAAGCCAUCAUGAUCAUAGGAGAUGGAGACACUGCCUGAUCAAUGUCAUCAAAGAUGUUGUUUUACAAAGUGUCCAGUGCCGCACUCUAUAUAUCCAUGAAAAAGCUUUUUUCAGAACAAAUUUCUUCCUGCCAAUAUGAUUUAUUUUAUACUUGUUGUAUUUGGAAUCUCGUUUUGAUUUAUAUAUCUAUCUUAGUCUGGCUCUUCCCAGAAGCACACGCUGAGACAAGGAUUAAAGUAAAAGUUGUUUAUUUGGGAAGGGCCAUGAACACUGGCAAAGUAGUGGAGAGGUGAGGCAAUCCAUGAAAGAUGGAUGAAAAACACUACCAGAGUGAGCCACAGAGGCUCAAUCCCACUGAGAAACUCUGAGAAAUGAUGGAAAACAUAUGCCUUAGAAUGGUCAUUCCCAAGUGGUGGAGGAGUAGACAAGUCUUUGAAUGAAGUUGCUCUGGGUGAUAAGUUCUCAGUACCUCCAUCCUCUUUCUUAAGUUCUUGAGGAAAGAAUCCUAAGCACGGAUGAUCCCCAAGUUAGCUGAAUGUUGUCAGGAACACACAGAAAGGUUUAGGCAAUAUGGCAUGGCACUGAUAACAUCAGCUACAGCGUUGUUGUUUCAUUUUGUUUUGGCGUCUAGAAAAUACAUGGUAAAAAGGGGGCUCAUAUUUAACAACUAUACAAGACUGUAUUUUAUAUAGUUUUGUCUGCUUAUCCUUUGCUCGAACUCUGUACCCAUUUCCCCCUUUCCCUACUUAAAAACACAUUUAUUUUCUACUGGUAUCCAAGUGAGUAAGUUUCCCCACAUCAUUUUAAAAAGUGAGACUAGGUGUAAAUCAACAAAAUGGCUCAGUGAAUAAUUCAACAAUUAUGUAGUAAUUGUCAUUUUAUAAUUCAUUCAAAAAAUAUGACAGCCUAGUUGUUGUGGUGGUGGUUGUUGUUUUGAGAUGGCGUUUCACUCUUGUUGCCCAGGCUGGAAUGCAAUGCCAUGAUCUCAGCCCACUGCAACCUCCACCUUCCAGGUACAAGUGAUUCUCCUGUUUCAGCCCCCCAAGUAGCUGGGAUUACAGGCAUGCCCCACCACACCCGGCUAAU
rnacentral:lncRNA from 10 species